rnacentral:rRNA from 1 species
GGAAUCUUCCACAAUGGACGAAAGUCUGAUGGAGCAACGCCGCGUGAGUGAAGAAGGGUUUCGGCUCGUAAAACACUGUUGUAAGAGAAGAAUGACAUUGAGAGUAACUGUUCAAUGUGUGACGGUAUCUUACCAGAAAGGAACGGCUAAAUACGUGCCAG